CCUACGGGAGGCAGCAGUGAGGAAUAGUGGUCAAUGGACGCAAGUCUGAACCAGCCAUGCCGCGUGCAGGAAGACGGCGCUAUGAGUUGUAAACUGCUUGUGUACGAGGGUAAACGCAGAUACGCGUAGCUGUCUGAAAGUAGCGUACGAAUAAGGAUCGGCUAACUCCGGGCCAGCAGCCGCGGUAAUACGGAGGAUUCAAGCGUUAUCCGGAUUUAUUGGGUUUAAAGGGUGCGUAGGCGGUCGGAUAAGUUAGAGGUGAAAUCCCGAGGCUCAACUUCGGAAUUGCCUCUGAUACUGUUCGGCUCGAGCGUAGUUGCGGUCGGCGGAUUGUCUGUUGUAGCGG
rnacentral:rRNA from 1 species